GAUGAACGCUAGCUACAGGCUUAACACAUGCAAGUCGAGGGGAAACGACAUCGAAAGCUUGCUUUUGAUGGACGUCGACCGGCGCACGGGUGAGUAACGCGUAUCCAACCUGCCCACCACUUGGGGAUAACCUUGCGAAAGUAAGACUAAUACCCAAUGAUAUCUCUAGAAGACAUCUGAAAGAGAUUAAAGAUUUAUCGGUGAUGGAUGGGGAUGCGUCCCAUUAGGUAGUAGGCGGGGUAACGGCCCACCUAGCCGACGAUGGGUAGGGGUUCUGAGAGGAAGGUCCCCCACAUUGGAACUGAGACACGGUCCAAACUCCUACGGGAGGCAGCAGUGAGGAAUAUUGGUCAAUGGGCGAGAGCCUGAACCAGCCAAGUAGCGUGUGGGACGAAUGCCCUAUGGGUUGUAAACCACUUUUGCAGGAGGGUAAAAUGCUUCACGUGUGGAGUAUUGCAAGUAUCCUGCGAAUAAGGACCGGCUAAUUCCGUG
rnacentral:rRNA from 1 species